CACGUAGGCGGAUAUUUAAGUCAGGGGUGAAAUCCCAGAGCUCAACUCUGGAACUGCCUUUGAUACUGGGUAUCUUGAGUAUGGAAGAGGUAAGUGGAAUUCCGAGUGUAGAGGUGAAAUUCGUAGAUAUUCGGAAGAACACCAGUGGCGAAGGCGGCUCACUGGACAGGUAUUGACGCUGAGGUGCGAAAGCGUGGGGAGCAAACA
rnacentral:rRNA from 1 species